rnacentral:misc_RNA from 1 species
GAUGAAGAACGCAGCGAAAUGCGAUACGUAAUGUGAAUUGCAGAAUUCAGUGAAUCAUCGAGUCUUUGAACGCACAUUGCGCCCCCUGGUAUUCCGGGGGGCAUGCCUGUCCGAGCGUCAUUGCUGCCCUCAAGCACGGCUUGUGUGUUGGGCCUCCGUCCUCCUCCCGGGGGACGGGCCCGAAAGGCAGCGGCGGCACCGCGUCCGGUCCUCGAGCGUAUGGGGCUUCGUCACCCGCUCUUGUAGGCCCGGCCGGCGCUUGCCGACACAUCAAUCUUUUUUCUAGGUUGACCUCGGAUCAGGUAGGGAUACCCGCUGAACUUAAGCAUAUCAAUAAGCGGAGGA